rnacentral:rRNA from 1 species
AGAGUUUGAUCCUGGCUCAGAUUGAACGCUGGCGGCAUGCUUUACACAUGCAAGUCGAACGGUAACAGGGAGCUUGCUCCGCUGACGAGUGGCGAACGGGUGAGUAAUGCAUCGGAACGUGCCUAUUCGUGGGGGAUAACGUAGCGAAAGUUACGCUAAUACCGCAUACGCCCUGAGGGGGAAAGCGGGGGAUUCGUAAGAACCUCGCGCAAUUAGAGCGGCCGAUGUCGGAUUAGCUAGUUGGUGGGGUAAAGGCUCACCAAGGCGACGAUCCGUAGCGGGUCUGAGAGGAUGAUCCGCCACACUGGGACUGAGACACGGCCCAGACUCCUACGGGAGGCAGCAGUGGGGAAUUUUGGACAAUGGGCGAAAGCCUGAUCCAGCCAUGCCGCGUGAGUGAAGAAGGCCUUCGGG